GGGGAUUUAGCUCAGCGGUAGAGCAAGUGCCUAGCAAGCGCAAGGCCCUGGGUUCGGUCCCCAGCUCUG
rnacentral:tRNA from 1 species